GACGAACGCUGGCGGCGUGCCUAAUACACGCAAGUCGAGCGAAGUUUUUCUGGUGCUUGCACCGGAAAAACUUAGCGGCGAACGGGUGAGUAACACGUAAAGAACCUGCCUCAUAGACUGGGACAACUAUUGGAAACGAUAGCUAAUACCGGAUAAUAGCAUUAACUGCAUGGUUGAUGUUUAAAAGUUGGUUUUGCUAACACUAUGAGAUGGCUUUGCGGUGCAUUAGCUAGUUGGUGGGGUAAAGGCCUACCAAGGCGACGAUGCAUAGCCGACCUGAGAGGGUGAUCGGCCACACUGGGACUGAGACACGGCCCAGACUCCUACGGGAGGCAGCAGUAGGGAAUCUUCCGCAAUGGGCGAAAGCCUGACGGAGCAACGCCGCGUGAGUGAAGAAGGAUUUCGGUUCGUAAAGCUCUGUUGUUAGGGAAGAAUGAUUGUGUAGUAACUAUACACAGUAGAGACGGUACCUAACCAGAAAGCCACGGCUAACUACGUG
rnacentral:rRNA from 1 species